UGCGCCUGUAGCUCAAUUGGAUAGAGCACCGGACUUCGGAUCCGGCGGUUGGGGGUUCGACUCCCUCCGGGCGCGG
rnacentral:tRNA from 2 species